CGGCAGCGCCUAACACAUGCAAGUCGAGCGGCAGCGGGAAAGUAGCUUGCUACUUUUGCCGGCGAGCGGCGGACGGGUGAGUAAUGCCUGGGGAUCUGCCCAGUCGAGGGGGAUAACUACUGGAAACGGUAGCUAAUACCGCAUACGCCCUACGGGGGAAAGCAGGGGACCUUCGGGCCUUGCGCGAUUGGAUGAACCCAGGUGGGAUUAGCUAGUUGGUGAGGUAAUGGCUCACCAAGGCGACGAUCCCUAGCUGGUCUGAGAGGAUGAUCAGCCACACUGGAACUGAGACACGGUCCAGACUCCUACGGGAGGCAGCAGUGGGGAAUAUUGCACAAUGGGGGAAACCCUGAUGCAGCCAUGCCGCGUGUGUGAAGAAGGCCUUCGGGUUGUAAAGCACUUUCAGCGAGGAGGAAAGGUUGGUAGCUAAUAACUGCCAGCUGUGACGUUACUCGCAGAAGAAGCACCGGCUAAC
rnacentral:rRNA from 1 species